AAUCAAGCGAUAGGUAAGGGCAUCUGGUGAAUGCCUUGGCAAUCAGAGGCGAAGAAGGACGUGAUACACUGCGAAAAGCCGUGGGGAGCUGUGAAUAGGCAUUGAUCCGCGGAUCUCCGAAUGGGGAAACCCACAGAGUAAUCUGUAUCAAUAUCUGAAUCUAUAGGGUAUUGAAGCGAACGCAGGGAACUGAAACAUCUAAGUACCUGUAGGAAAGGAAAUCAACCGAGACUCCGAGAGUAGUGGCGAGCGAAAUCGGACCAGCCAAUUUGCGAUUAGAUAAGAACCGGAAGUGUCUGGGAAGGCACAUCAUAGAGGGUGAUAGUCCCGUACGGGUAGAAAGUUUAAUUGUAAGAGAGUAGGGCGGAGCACGAGAAAUUCUGUCUGAAGAUAGGUCGACCACGAUCUAAGGCUAAGUACUACUGAUUGACCGAUAGUGAACCAGUACCGUGAGGGAAAGGUGAAAAGCACCCCGACAAGGGGAGUGAAAGAGAACCUGAAACCGGAUGCCUACAAGCAGUCGGAGGGGCAUUAAGCCCUGACGGCGUACCUUUUGUAUAAUGGGUCAGCGAGUUAGUUUAUGUAGCAAGCAUAAGCCGAUAGGUGGAUGCGUAGCGAAAGCGAGUGUUAAUAGCGCGUUAAGUUACAUGAAUUAGACCCGAAACCGAGUGAUCUAGCCAUGAACAGGUUGAAGGUUGGGUAACACCAACUGGAGGACCGAACCCACUCCCGUUGAAAAGGUAGGGGAUGAUUUGUGGCUAGGGGUGAAAGGCCAAUCAAACUCGGAAAUAGCUGGUUCUCCGCGAAAACUAUUUAGGUAGUGCGGUAGGCGAACACCAUGAGGGGUAGAGCACUGAAAGAGCUAAGGGGGAGCGAUCCUUACUAAACUUUAUCAAACUCCGAAUACUCAUGAGUGAUACUUACCAGACAGACAGUAGGUGCUAAGGUCUAUUGUCGAGAGGGAAAGAGCCCAGACCGUCAACUAAGGUCCCUAAAUUAUGGCUAAGUGGUAAAGGAAGUGGGAUAUCCAAAACAGUCAGGAGGUUGGCUUAGAAGCAGCCAUCCUUUAAAGAAAGCGUAAUAGCUCACUGAUCUAAAUAAGACGUCCUGCGCCGAAGAUGUAACGGGGCUAAAGCCAUAUACCGAAGUUACGGGAUUGUAUUGCAAUAGAUACAAUCGGUAGCGGAGCGUUCUGUAGGCCUGCGAAGGUGAACCGUAAGGUUUGCUGGAGGUAUCAGAAGUGAGAAUGCUGACAUGAGUAGCGAAAAGAAGAGUGAGAGACUCUUCCGCUGAAAGUCCAAGGUUUCCUGCGUAAAGCUAAUCUGCGCAGGGUUAGUCGGCCCCUAAGGCGAGGCAGAGAUGCGUAGCUGAUGGGAACACGGUUAAUAUUCCGUGACCAGUUAGGAAGUGACGGAUACAGUAGUUUGUACAUGCUUAAUGGAUUGUGUGUGCAAGUGAUGUGUCCCGGGAAAUAGCCCUAACGAAGACCGUACCCGAAACCGACACAGGUGGACAGGUAGAGUAUACCAAAGCGCUUGAGAGAACUAUGUUGAAGGAACUAGGCAAAAUGCUUGUGUAACUUCGGGAUAAGCAAGCCCGGUUUUAAGGCAACUUAAGGCCGGGGGCACAUACUAGGGGGUAGCGACUGUUUAACAAAAACACAGGACUCUGCGAAAUUGAAAGAUGAAGUAUAGGGUCUGACGCCUGCCCGGUGCCGGAAGGUUAAGGAGAGAUGUGAGAGCAUUGAACUGAAGCCCCGGUAAACGGCGGCCGUAACUAUAACGGUCCUAAGGUAGCGAAAUUCCUUGUCGGGUAAGUUCCGACCUGCACGAAUGGCGUAACGACUUCCCCGCUGUCU
rfam:Azospirillum sp. 51_20 Ley3_66761_scaffold_12617, whole genome shotgun sequence.